AGAUUAAGUUAUUAAGGGCGCACGGUGGAUGCCUUGGCACUAGAAGCCGAUGAAGGACGUUACUAACGACGAUAUGCUUUGGGUAGCUGUAAGUAAGCGUUGAUCCAGAGAUUUCCGAAUGGGGGAACCCAGCAUGAGUUAUGUCAUGUUAUCGACAUGUGAAUUCAUAGCAUGUCAGAAGGCAGACCCGGAGAACUGAAACAUCUUAGUACCCGGAGGAAGAGAAAGAAAAAUCGAUUCCCUGAGUAGCGGCGAGCGAAACGGGAAGAGCCCAAACCAACAAGCUUGCUUGUUGGGGUUGUAGGACACUCUAUACGGAGUUACAAAAGAACAUGUUAGACGAAUCAUCUGGAAAGAUGAAUCAAAGAAGGUAAUAAUCCUGUAGUCGAAAACAUAUUCUCUCUUGAGUGGAUCCUGAGUACGACGGAGCACGUGAAAUUCCGUCGGAAUCUGGGAGGACCAUCUCCUAAGGCUAAAUACUCUCUAGUGACCGAUAGUGAACCAGUACCGUGAGGGAAAGGUGAAAAGUACCCCGGAAGGGGAGUGAAAGAGAACUUGAAACCGUGUGCUUACAAGUAGUCAGAGCCCGUUAAUGGGUGAUGGCGUGCCUUUUGUAGAAUGAACCGGCGAGUUACGAUCUGAUGCAAGGUUAAGCAGCAAAUGUGGAGCCGCAGCGAAAGCGAGUCUGAAUAGGGCGUUGAGUAUUUGGUCGUAGACCCGAAACCAGGUGAUCUACCCUUGGUCAGGUUGAAGUUCAGGUAACACUGAAUGGAGGACCGAACCGACUUACGUUGAAAAGUGAGCGGAUGAACUGAGGGUAGCGGAGAAAUUCCAAUCGAACUUGGAGAUAGCUGGUUCUCUCCGAAAUAGCUUUAGGGCUAGCCUCAAGUGAUGAUUAUUGGAGGUAGAGCACUGUUUGGACGAGGGGCCCCUCUCGGGUUACCGAAUUCAGACAAACUCCGAAUGCCAAUUAAUUUAACUUGGGAGUCAGAACAUGGGUGAUAAGGUCCGUGUUCGAAAGGGAAACAGCCCAGACCACCAGCUAAGGUCCCAAAAUAUAUGUUAAGUGGAAAAGGAUGUGGCGUUGCCCAGACAACUAGGAUGUUGGCUUAGAAGCAGCCAUCAUUUAAAGAGUGCGUAAUAGCUCACUAGUCGAGUGACACUGCGCCGAAAAUGUAACGGGGCUAAACAUAUUACCGAAGCUGUGGAUUGUCCUUUGGACAAUGGUAGGAGAGCGUUCUAAGGGCGUCGAAGCAUGAUCGCAAGGACAUGUGGAGCGCUUAGAAGUGAGAAUGCCGGUGUGAGUAGCGAAAGACGGGUGAGAAUCCCGUCCACCGAUUGACUAAGGUUUCCAGAGGAAGGCUCGUCCGCUCUGGGUUAGUCGGGUCCUAAGCUGAGGCCGACAGGCGUAGGCGAUGGAUAACAGGUUGAUAUUCCUGUACCACCUAGUAUCGUUUUAAUCGAUGGGGGGACGCAGUAGGAUAGGCGAAGCGUGCUGUUGGAGUGCACGUCCAAGCAGUAAGGCUGAGUGUUAGGCAAAUCCGGCACUCAUAAGGCUGAGCUGUGAUGGGGAGAGGAAAUUGUUUCCUCGAGUCGUUGAUUUCACACUGCCGAGAAAAGCCUCUAGAUAGAUAACAGGUGCCCGUACCGCAAACCGACACAGGUAGUCAAGAUGAGAAUUCUAAGGUGAGCGAGCGAACUCUCGUUAAGGAACUCGGCAAAAUGACCCCGUAACUUCGGGAGAAGGGGUGCUCUUUAGGGUUCACGCCCAGAAGAGCCGCAGUGAAUAGGCCCAAGCGACUGUUUAUCAAAAACACAGGUCUCUGCUAAACCGUAAGGUGAUGUAUAGGGGCUGACGCCUGCCCGGUGCUGGAAGGUUAAGAGGAGUGGUUAGCUUCUGCGAAGCUACGAAUCGAAGCCCCAGUAAACGGCGGCCGUAACUAUAACGGUCCUAAGGUAGCGAAAUUCCUUGUCGGGUAAGUUCCGACCCGCACGAAAGGCGUAACGAUUUGGGCACUGUCUCAACGAGAGACUCGGUGAAAUCAUAGUACCUGUGAAGAUGCAGGUUACCCGCGACAGGACGGAAAGACCCCGUGGAGCUUUACUGUAGCCUGAUAUUGAAAUUCGGCACAGCUUGUACAGGAUAGGUAGGAGCCUUUGAAACGUGAGCGCUAGCUUACGUGGAGGCGUUGGUGGGAUACUACCCUAGCUGUGUUGGCUUUCUAACCCGCACCACUUAUCGUGGUGGGAGACAGUGUCAGGCGGGCAGUUUGACUGGGGCGGUCGCCUCCUAAAAGGUAACGGAGGCGCUCAAAGGUUCCCUCAGAAUGGUUGGAAAUCAUUCAUAGAGUGUAAAGGCAUAAGGGAGCUUGACUGCGAGACCUACAAGUCGAGCAGGGUCGAAAGACGGACUUAGUGAUCCGGUGGUUCCGCAUGGAAGGGCCAUCGCUCAACGGAUAAAAGCUACCCCGGGGAUAACAGGCUUAUCUCCCCCAAGAGUUCACAUCGACGGGGAGGUUUGGCACCUCGAUGUCGGCUCAUCGCAUCCUGGGGCUGUAGUCGGUCCCAAGGGUUGGGCUGUUCGCCCAUUAAAGCGGUACGCGAGCUGGGUUCAGAACGUCGUGAGACAGUUCGGUCCCUAUCCGUCGUGGGCGUAGGAAAUUUGAGAGGAGCUGUCCUUAGUACGAGAGGACCGGGAUGGACAUACCUCUGGUGUACCAGUUGUCGUGCCAACGGCAUAGCUGGGUAGCUAUGUAUGGACGGGAUAAGUGCUGAAAGCAUCUAAGCAUGAAGCCCCCCUCAAGAUGAGAUUUCCCAACUUCGGUUAUAAGAUCCCUCGAAGAUGACGAGGUUAAUAGGUUCGAGGUGGAAGCGUGGUGACACGUGGAGCUGACGAAUACUAAUCGAUCGAAGACUUAAUCAAUUUUUAAA
rnacentral:rRNA from 1 species